UACGUAGGGGGCUAGCGUUGUCCGGAUUUAUUGGGCGUAAAGAGCGUGUAGGCGGCCAGGUAGGUCUGCUGUGAAAGCCCGAGGCUCAACCUCGGAACUGCCUCGAUACUGCGGGUCUCGAGUCCGGGAGAGGUGAGUGGAAUUCCUAGUGUAGAGGUGAAAUCGUAGAUAUUAGGAAGAACACCAGUGGCGAAGGCGGC
rnacentral:rRNA from 1 species